rnacentral:lncRNA from 1 species
UUUCGAACUCUUCGUUCGCCGAACGAAGGUGUCCACUAGCCUCCUAGUACCCUAAGGAUGUAGGAACAAGUGUUACCCAAACGAAACGAGCAACGGAUUGCUCAAACAAUAAUCAUUUCGGGUUAGGGUUGAAGAAAACUCACCGAUUGCGAAGGAAGCUCUCUCGAUCUCCAAAUGGGAGUUAGAGUCCUUCCAAUCUAACCUAAACAAAGGUUCUAAACCUAUCAAAUAGGUUUCAAAGCCCUCAAAUCAAAAAUCUCCAUUUUUGACCCUAAUAUGCCAAAUCUAGGAUUUCAUCAAGCAUAAUCCAACAAAACAUGUACCAAAAGGGAAAUACAUGUUACUAACCUCUCUAGAAGCUCCAAACCAAGCUCCAAGUGCUCUAGGGUUGGAGUUCCUUCCUCUAUCAAGCUCCUAGUCCAAGCUCCAAUGGUGGAAAAGCCUCCAAUCAAGCAAAAGGAACAAAAGAGAGGUUUAAUCCACCAAAACCUAAGCUAAAAGAGGAUCAAAACCAAAUGGAGUGGUGGAGAGGGCAACCCUACCUCUUCCUCUGCUGUUCCAAGCUCAAGGAGAGGUCCAAGGGGCGUGGG